rnacentral:tRNA from 1 species
GGGGCGUAGCUCAGUUGGUAGAGCGUUCGGUUCGCAUCCGAGAGGUCAUGAGUUCGAAUCUCACCGUCUCC